rnacentral:rRNA from 1 species
GAUGAACGCUGGUUGCGUGCCUAAUACAUGCAAGUCGAGCGAACGGACGAGAAGCUUGCUUCUCUGAUGUUAGCGGCGGACGGGUGAGUAACACGUGGAUAACCUACCUAUAAGACUGGGAUAACUUCGGGAAACCGGAGCUAAUACCGGAUAAUAUUUUGAACCGCAUGGUUCAAAAGUGAAAGACGGUCUUGCUGUCACUUAUAGAUGGAUCCGCGCUGCAUUAGCUAGUUGGUAAGGUAACGGCUUACCAAGGCAACGAUGCAUAGCCGACCUGAGAGGGUGAUCGGCCACACUGGAACUGAGACACGGUCCAGACUCCUACGGGAGGCAGCAGUAGGGAAUCUUCCGCAAUGGGCGAAAGCCUGACGGAGCAACGCCGCGUGAGUGAUGAAGGUCUUCGGAUCGUAAAACUCUGUUAUUAGGGAAGAACAUAUGUGUAAGUAACUGUGCACAUCUUGACGGUACCUAAUCAGAAAGCCACGGCUAACUACGUGCCAGCAGCCGCGGUAAUACGUAGGUGGCAAGCGUUAUCCGGAAUUAUUGGGCGUAAAGCGCGCGUAGGCGGUUUUUUAAGUCUGAUGUGAAAGCCCACGGCUUAACCGUGGAGGGUCAUUGGAAACUGGAAAACUUGAGUGCAGAAGAGGAAAGUGGAAUUCCAUGUGUAGCGGUGAAAUGCGCAGAGAUAUGGAGGAACACCAGUGGCGAAGGCGACUUUCUGGUCUGUAACUGACGCUGAUGUGCGAAAGCGUGGGGAUCAAACAGGAUUAGAUACCCUGGUAGUCCACGCCGUAAACGAUGAGUGCUAAGUGUUAGGGGGUUUCCGCCCCUUAGUGCUGCAGCUAACGCAUUAAGCACUCCGCCUGGGGAGUACGACCGCAAGGUUGAAACUCAAAGGAAUUGACGGGGACCCGCACAAGCGGUGGAGCAUGUGGUUUAAUUCGAAGCAACGCGAAGAACCUUACCAAAUCUUGACAUCCUUUGACAACUCUAGAGAUAGAGCUUUCCCCUUCGGGGGACAAAGUGACAGGUGGUGCAUGGUUGUCGUCAGCUCGUGUCGUGAGAUGUUGGGUUAAGUCCCGCAACGAGCGCAACCCUUAAGCUUAGUUGCCAUCAUUAAGUUGGGCACUCUAAGUUGACUGCCGGUGACAAACCGGAGGAAGGUGGGGAUGACGUCAAAUCAUCAUGCCCCUUAUGAUUUGGGCUACACACGUGCUACAAUGGACAAUACAAAGGGCAGCGAAACCGCGAGGUCAAGCAAAUCCCAUAAAGUUGUUCUCAGUUUGGAUUGUAGUCUGCAACUCGACUACAUGAAGCUGGAAUCGCUAGUAAUCGUAGAUCAGCAUGCUACGGUGAAUACGUUCCCGGGUCU